CCCUGUCCCAGGCUAGCUGGGUGACUUCCCCCAACCGCAGAGACAGCGGCGACCCGGGGCCUCAGACCUGCCCCCGCAUCCCGCCGGCGCCAGGCAGUGGGAAGUCAGGUUCUUCCGCCACCUCCCAGCCAGGACUCUUGUCACCCUCCCUCAGGAUGCCUGAGGGCCCUGAGCUGCACCUGGCCAGCCAGUUUGUGAACGAGGCCUGCAGGGCGCUGGUGUUCGGCGGCUGCGUGGAGAAGUCCUCUGUCAGCCGCAACCCUGAGGUGCCCUUUGAGAGCAGUGCCUACCGCAUCUCAGCUUCAGCCCGCGGCAAGGAGCUGCGCCUGAUACUGAGCCCUCUGCCUGGGGCCCAGCCCCCCCAGGAGCCGCUGGCCCUGGUCUUCCGCUUCGGCAUGUCCGGCUCUUUUCAGCUGGUACCUCGCGAGGAGCUGCCACGCCAUGCCCACCUGCGCUUUUACACGGCCCCGCCUGGCCUCCGGCUCGCCCUGUGUUUCGUGGACAUCCGCCGGUUCGGCCGCUGGGACCUUGGGGGAAAGUGGCAGCCGGGCCGCGGGCCCUGUGUCUUGCAGGAGUACCAGCAGUUCAGGUAGGGCCAGCACCAGGUGUGAUGAACAUAGUCGCGGGCUCCACACCUGGCUCUGUUAGUGCCUUCUUGGCCAACAAGGGACGAGUCCCUGCCCCUUCUGGGCCUCAGUUCCCUCAUCUGCAGAUCAAGACAGUAUCCCUCUCCUGGGUCAGCUCCCUGAGCCAAUGGACAUGGAAACUCAAAACUAAUUGGGGGCCAGGUGUGGUGGCUCACGUCUGUAAUCCCAGCACUUUGGGAAGCCGAGGCGGGCAGAUCAUGAGGUCAGGAGUUCGAGACCAGCCUGGCCAGCAUGGUGAAACCCUGUCUCUACUGAAAAUACAAAAAUUAGCCGGGCAUGGUGGCACAUGCCU
rnacentral:sRNA from 1 species